UGUGGCCUACGGGAGGCAGCAGUGGGGGAUAUUGCACAAUGGGGGGAACCCUGAUGCAGCGACGCCGCGUGGGUGAAGAAGCGCCUCGGCGCGUAAAGCCCUGUCAGCAGGGAAGAAAAUGACGGUACCUGAAGAAGAAGCCCCGGCUAACUACGUGCCAGCAGCCGCGGUAAUACGUAGGGGGCAAGCGUUAUCCGGAUUUACUGGGUGUAAAGGGAGCGUAGACGGCAUUGCAAGUCCGGAGUUAAAGCCCACGGCCCAACCGUGGGACUGCUCUGGAAACUGUAGAGCUGGAGUGCGGGAGG
rnacentral:rRNA from 1 species